UACGUAGGAGGCAAGCGUUGUCCGGAGUUACUGGGCAUAAAGGGCCCGCAGGCGGUGGAGUAAGUUUGGAGUGACAGUUCCCAGCUUAACCGGGAAAGGACUUCGAAAACUGCUCGACUUGAGGACUGGAGAGGAAGGCGGAAUUCCGGGUGGAGCGGUGAAAUGCGUAGAGAUCCGGAGGAACACCGACGGCGAAGGCAGCCUUCUGGAAAGUACCUGACGCUGAGGGGCGAAAGCUAGGGGAGCGAACGGG
rnacentral:rRNA from 1 species